rnacentral:lncRNA from 1 species
AGAAAUGUCUGCCUUCCCUGUCUGCCAGCAGUCUUACCCUUGGUUUCUGGUAGAUCCAUUUCCAUUCUUUUAACUAUUUACUUGAUCCUGUGGAGUCUUUCUUAAAAAUACAGUCUUUAGAUAUUGUCAGUUCUAAGCAUUCACAGUGUGCAAGAGAUAAAAGAGGGAUAAGACAACUGCAAUUCAAUGUAGCAUCAAGACGGGAAGAAAAACACAGCCCUUGAAGAUUCCAAGGAGAAAGAUCUAACUCACUGGAGAAAGAUCAAACUCAUCGUGAUAUCAAAGAAGCCUGAGGAAGGAGGUCGCAUUUGAAAUGGGCUUUGAGUGGCGGAUGAGCAGUGGUUACAGGAAAGGGAAAGGCAUUUCAGAUGGGAACAGCAGCACCAGCAGGAACAUGGAGGUGCAAAAGGUUAAAGCAUACUCAUGGCACAAGUAAAGCCAUUUGUUUAGAACAGGGGUAGGCAAACCAAGGCCCACAGGCCACAUCCAGCCAGGUGCCUGCUUGCUCUAUGGCUUGUGAGAAAAGAGUGUUUUUCCAUUGUUACAUUUUAAAUGGUUAUAUAAGUAGCUAAAUAAUAUUCUCAGUUUUGCCUCUUGGCCUGCAAUGUCUAAACUAUUUACUUUAUGGCCCCUUAAGAAAAAGUUUGCUGACUUGGAGACCCCUGGGGACUUUGAAGGCAUCCACUGGGCAUCUUGGAACAUAACCACCGAGGAUAAGGGGGCACUACUUUGUUAGACUCCACAGAUGAACAAGGGUCAGUUGUCCACACUGACCACUGUGGCCAGCCUGGAUCACAUGCCUGCCCUGCAGUGAAAUCAGCAGGACACUGGACUCACCUGGGUCACUUAGGAUGGAAAAGAACUUCUCCAAGUGAACCAGAAGAAGGGGAAUGCAAAAAUUCUAGAAUAAACUGUAACUACAUAUUCCAGUC